ensembl:lncRNA
CAGUACUGUACAGGCAGUAGGGAGAACACAUCCCUAUUUUCUUGAUAACCCCAGCACCUCCAGCGACUCUUGACUCUCACAGUUCCUAGGAAUCUCAAAGUUGCUUUGGUUUGUCAGGAAAGCAUUUGUCAUGUUAUGUGUGUAAUUGAAUCUGCUAGUUCGUACAAAUAAAAAAACCACAUGAGAGUUGCCACUGGAAAACUCUCUCGGCCCCCACCCUUCCUUAGGAAGGAAUUCCCACUCUGCUCUGUUUUUGUGUUUCAAGCUUCUCUUGCAGCUCAUUUAUCAACUGGCGUGUUUUCUGGCUUUGCCGAAGAUGAUGACUGUGAUGGCUCAAAGACAUCUCCUUCACUGCUUUCUGCUAAUUCUGAGAGCUAUCUAAUAGUGCAUUUUAAAGAUGCUGGUCCAAGGAAAAUAUUUCAUACGCAAAAGGAAGAGGAGCACAAAUGAUGGAGUGGAAGGCCAUAGAAGUAAGAAGGCAGAACUCCUGAAAUGCCUGUAGGUACCCGUGACAGGCAGUCCCACGAGUGAGUCCUGUAGCAGGCAAAGAAGAGCAAAGCACAUCGGUCACUGAGGACAGUUCCAAGCCCAGGCAUGGGACAGGGCAUCAUCAAGUGUCAGAAGAGAAUCAGGAAUGCCUGCCUCUACAGUGCAUGUUUUCUGACAGAUGCCCAGCAUAAUGAAUAAGAAAUCAAAUAACUUCACAAGGAUUGGUGUUGAUAUGGAUCCACUGAGAGCUGUAGCGAGAAAUAUAUGUGCAUAGUUUGACAUUAGCUGGAGAUGUAUUAGGCUGCAUUCACGUGGACCAGUCUGAAAAUGGAGUGACAGAACAAAA